UAAGGAAAUAAUAGUACAAGGUGCACAUACACAUAUAUACGUGUCCUCCACACACAGGUUGUUUGUUGCAGCAUUGUUUAUUACAGUGAAAAACUGGAGGCAAUCUAAUGUCCAUUGAAAGCAGAUUGAUUAAGUUAUGGUACAUUCAGUGAAAUACUAUGCAGCCUUUAAAGAGAAUAAGGUAGAUCUUUACGCAUUCAAAUUAAAAAUUCAAGUGUGUGAAGGAUGUUCUAUAGCAAACUAUUAAUAGUGGUUGUCCCUGGGUCAGGGGAGGGGAUACUUUUGCUUAAAUAUUUUACAGUAAUAUACCACAAGAACAAUAUGGUUCAAAUAUUCCAUAUUUGAAAAAAAAAAAGACAUCUGCAAGGCACUGACAGGACUUUGGUGACUGAACGUGACAGCAAGUGAGAGGGAGUAAGGGAGCAGCUGGAGAGCCUCAGUAGACGGGCACCAUAAAGGGGGUGGGGAGGCUGCUGGGGGAGGCUGAGCUUGGUUUUGGAAUACGUACUUUGAGUUUGAGGUGCUACCCCUUGAUGGAGAGGUUGGGGGUUCCUGGGUGCCAUGGUGGGGGCCCUGUGUAGCUGGCAGACUACAUAAGGGCACUGGGCCUCUUGGGGUAGGAACUACUGAAAAUAAACACUCGGUCCUGAGGAGGUAUCUUAUAAUAUUGCUAAGCCCCACAAAUCCCGGUAUCAUAGACACUUUAUGAGAGAUGAUGAUGUAGCUACUGGGUACAUGAGCCUACGGAGGUGAGUGAAGGAUUGGCAGGGACUGAGCGUCCCACCCCGGCUGGUUUCUGCAGGACGGUGGCUGCCCGUGCCUGUCUUCUAGCUCAGGGGCGGUCACCAAUCUCAGACCACCUUGCUCCUGGCUGUAUUUGCAAUAACUCGUUUAUUUUCCCCUCUUGUAGCUGUGACCAGUGAAAGGAGUGGCACCGAUAUGACAGAUGCAGCUACUGCCACUCAGGCCCAACAUUUGAGCUCAUCUAAUCACCCAGAUGCUAAAGAAAACACUCCAACACCAAAACCAGGGCAACUCUUUGGAAUCCUGAAAGCAGAUUUUCUCAUCCCAGUUCUGAUGAACCCAGAAAACAUGAAAGACCAAUUUUUGAGUGAGGUGAGACUUCUCUGUCCUCUAAUUUUGAUCAGUCAGGUGACUUGACAAUGCAAAGCAAUCCUGUCGAAGCCAAUACAGGAAGAGAAAAAGCUUUGGAAAGUUAGCUCAUCUGUUCCCGUUGUCACCAUCCUGGCUCAUGGUGACAGGUUGGUUCAUGUGCUCAGAUCUUUUCUUACUCUCUCCAUUUUUCCUGAGCUCUUAAAAAAAGUCAAUACAGUAUAGUCAGAAGGACCUAAAUUUGGGUCUUGGCUUUGAGCUUAUUAGUUGUGUGACCUUGAGCAAGUAACUUAAUCUUUCUGAGCCUCAGUUUCCUCAUGAAUUAGGAACAACAGUACCUAACUCAUAUGGCUGGUAUUAUGACAAAAUGAAAUAUUCCAUAAAAAGUGCUUAGCAAAUUGUCUGGCACAUAGGCAGUGCUCAAUAAAUCUUAGCUAUUGUUAUUAUCAAAUUAUUAUUCUGAAUAUACAUUUGUUCCAGGCUUUUUUUUUCCUCUUGUUUUUUUAAAGUAUUGUGAGAUGAGAGAUUGUGAAGAGGAAGAAUUAUUCCUAAAUAAUUGUGACAAAAGCCUCAAGCUGAUUUUUGAAUAUGACCUAAAGGCACAUUUUUUAGUGAUAUCAGAUAAUAAUCAUAAGAUGUCAGAGCUAGAGAGUUCCUCAUAGGCCAUAUAGCCAAAACCAUAAUUUUACAGACAAGGAAACUGAUUGGCAUUAGUCUGGUAGCUUACUGCAAUUUACUCAUAGACCAAAGAGCACCCAGGCAAUUCAUUCUAAAAUCUCACAAACUGAAGUCUCUAGGAAGAACAGUUUUGUGUGUGUGUGUGUGUGUGUGUGUGCGUGCCCAUGUGCAUGCAUGCACAAAUGCCUGCCAGGUAGCGGGGAGGGAACUGGAGAGCUUUUGCUGCAUUUUGCUGUUGAAGAACAGGUGCAAAUGAUGCAAUUUGGCAUCUGAUAAAUUUUUUAGUAAAAGUUCAAGAAAUAAGACUGCAGUGCUGAGUAUUAAGUCUACAAAAGUCAAGAACCGUUUUGUUUUUUGUUUUUUUUGGCAGGGGAGGGUUACCAAACCAGAAAGCAUCUACCUUUUAUUUUAAAUUAAAACCAAUAAUGGGAAAAUUGGGGUCAAGAUGGGGAAUUCCGGCUUCUGGUCACUUUUGUUGGAAUAUAGCUAUCUCAUAUUAAUGGAGAGAAUUUCUACCUCACAGAUAUAAAGGAUGGAAUUGGUGGGGACAAGGUAGAGUAUAUUAUCAGCUUUAGUAGCAUUUACUGAUAAAAUUUGAAAUAGGAGGCAAACAAAACACCUAUAGCCAACUUAUCCCAGUUCCAUGGAUGGGAGCAGAGAAAACAUUGUAACAGACACUCACGCAUUGCUCAAGAGAGAGAUAUGGAGUAGUGGCUGUUAACCCUAUCUGAACUUAGAAUCCCGUGGGGAAGGUUAAAAAAAAAAUCCUGGCCCAGUCCUUAGAGAGAUUCUAUUUAAUUGUUCAAUGGUGGGUCUAAAGGGGCAUCUCUACUCUUAUUUUUUCAAGAUCCCAAGUGAUUCUGAUGAACAGUCACGACUGAGAAUCCCUGAUUGUCAUUCGUUUUAGUCUCCUUUGUCAUUAAACUUUUUUUGUGUGCUGGGGGUGAUGGUGGUGACCUAACAAACUUGAUUUCUGUGCUUUCCUAUUGGUGAAGGUGCUAACGACAAAAAGCAGGUAGCUGCAGGGAGGCUAAGAAAAAUACAGGGUAUGGCUGGACAUAAAGGGUAGAUGGGUGGACAGUUAAGGGCUCAGAUGACUAGGAGGUCACAAGAUAGCAUCAACAACAGUUUCUCUCUUUUUGAUGUUUCAGAUCCAAGAAGUCUUAAAGCUUACAUUAGGUCAUGAGCAAUUCAGAUUGAAAUGGGUUGGCUGUGAAGUAAACAAAAAAUAGCACACGUCUACUGUGACCUGGAGUCUCCUCACACAAUUUUCUCUGGAUUUUGAGUGAAUUUUAGUUUUUUAAUUCAUAGUAAAACAGGAGUAGAAGUCACUAGAUAUGUGAAGAGGCUAACUGGUGGUAUUUCAGACCUAUACUUAGCCUUGUAAGAAAACUACUUAUGAGACCUGCAUCCUGGGGUUUUAAAGAAUGAAGGUAAGCAGAAGAUGGGGGUAUUUGGAAAUAACCUCGAGAAUUACAAGCAAACAAGAACAAAAAACCCCAACUAGACAACAAAAAUCCUGAAACAAACCACAUUAAUCUGUUGGGGAAUUAAGAGAGGAUAGUACUGGUCUGGAGAGCUGAGUGGGGCCAUACUUUCAAUAAAGUGGAGGACAUUUUCUUCACCAGUCACAAGCUAGUAAAGAGAUUUCCAACUCUCCAGAAUGAGGAGCUCUCUGAGGGUGUUAUUACAAUACGAUAUGUGUUAAUGCUAGCUCUUUGUCCUACAGCUAAAUACUUUUUACCUGUAAAUUGGGAAAUUCUAAGACGCAUUGUUCUUAAUGUUAAAAUAUACCUUCAGAAUAAUGUUCCUGCGUACAUUUUAUUUCUGGUUUUUCUCCAAGUGUCCUAAUCACCCAGAUAACAUGCUAGAAGUCAAACAGUAAUAUGUCAAAUACAGUAGCAACUUUAGUCUGAAAUGUUUAAAGUUAAAGUUUAUUUGUAUUCUUUGUAGGAAUAUCAAUAAAAGACCUCAAACGUAUCUAUAUCUGUACAUGUACAAGAACCGUCAAAAAUUAUUCACAGAACAAAAAUAAAUCUUCUUUUAGAACAAACCCAGGUAAUGAAAUGCAGAUAUGGAUCUCACAUAUGGAACAAUCUAAGUGCCACUAGCACAAAAAUAUGGCUUUAAAAAUAAAAUAAAAUCUUGGGUUUUUUUUUUCUAAUGUGUAUUUCUCUUUCUUGAAAUAAAAAAUAAAUUAUUUAGAGCUAUCAUUGUAAAAUAGUCAUGUGCAUUAACACACUCUUAUUAAGGCCCUGGAGAUGAAAAACAAAAUCAAAUUUAGAAGUUCCUCACAGGUGUGAUUCAGGUUAAUGGGCUGCUGUCUGCUUUGAGUUAAUUUUAGUGUUAACUAGGAAAUGUCUAAGCACCAGUCAAAAUUUAACCUGUACUAUUUAUUUCAAAUUUUCUGCAGGAUAGUGGUCAAUUAGUAUUUCACCUUUUGGUGAACUGGGAAUUGAAAAUUUUCCCUUGGGAGUUUAGAAGUGACAUAAAUAUGACAGUUAUUCUUAAAUAUUUGUAGCCCCACACAGAUGAUCGAGGCCCCUAAAACACAGCUUCUGUGGAAAUCUUUCUACAACAGAUAUAUCUGGUUUUAAAUCCCAAACUAAAACAUUUCCUAGGGAAAAACAAGGGCACUGAAAAAUAAGAACUGAAUAGGAAAUUAAAAUGCAUGCUGAAAUCUGGACACAAACGACCACCUGGCUUUCCUUGGGUGGCUCAUCGCCAAGCCUUGCUGGGUUGGUUCCUCAAACACCUGAGGAUUAACUGAUCAGGAACCAAAGCUAUUCUUUCUGUAUCCUACUGUCACAUCAGUGAUAUUCAACUUUCUUUCUGUGACUCCCCAAGGUAUCAAUAAUGAUAUCUAGGGUUCUUGAGACAAUGUCAAGCCAAAUUUCAAGUCAUUUUAACUUAUAUAUACAUAUAACACAUAUGGUACAUUUUAAAGAGGAAAGAACCACUGUCAUAAAAUCUAACAAAGGAGAGCAUAAAAUCUAAAAAAUCUCAAGGAAGUUUGGGAAUCACUGCUCUAUAAGAUGGAUUAACAUUCAGAAAAAGGAAGCCCUAGGAAUUGUGUGUUUUGUGUGGGUACCCACAUGUUGUCUACAGAAACGGCCUUUCUAUGUAUCUAUGUAUUUCGAGAUUGGGCAAAGGAUAUAAAUCCUCCUGUUUCCUUGAACCGUUGGGCUAUGGAGAAGGCUGCUGUGCAUUAGUCCCCUUUUGGAUCAUGUAUCUUCCUCAGGUUCUUUCACUCCUCAUAAGAUAUUUAUUCUAUCUCAUGCAAAUUUCAUCACUUUUGUCCUUCCUAAACUCAAGAGCAUUCAUAACUGGGUCAUGACAGAAUGCUUCUAGAACUAAUAACAAUCACUCAAACACAAAAAGAGAUUCUAUUUAAAAAUUCAACACCCCAACAUAUCUUGCUUUUAAAAAAACUAGCAAAAUAGGUCCUUUCCAUUGACAUAUUGAUAAAAACAAAGUAUCCCAAAUUCUUGGCCCUCAGGUAAGGGGUGGGAAGGCAACUAUUUACUGUUGAAGCGAGCAGGAGACUUCACUAUCAGACUUGAAAAAGGGAAGGGGAAUGGAGAAGAAAGCCCUUUUGGUUUUCCAUAAUCUGUAGAAGGUGACCCUCCCAAAGGUGAAAACACAGGGAAGGUAUGGUGUGGACUCCAGAGCUGCUGAGUCAGGCCCAGUGACAAGCCUAGUCUGGUGUCAACUCUAGUCAGGGUCACAUGGGCCUUAGGUAAAUCCCAAGGAGGGUUCCUUCCCAAAGUUCAGUCCCACAACCAGCCUUCUCAGAAAGACCAAACUGGACGUAACUGGAACUAAACCUAGAUGGAAGGCAGAACAAAUUGUAAUCAAACUCACUUGAUGGCAACUGUCUUGCUCUGGGGCUUCCAAAAAAGAACUGCUCUCAACCCAGUGUACUUCUGAGGACAGAGUGAGAAACGAGGGUCGGUAGAGCUAUAGAUCCAUAAAUAGACUAAGAUCUAAAAAGCUUUACUUUUAAAGUCAAGUUAAUUCUCAAGGGCAUACAGCAGUCGUAGACAGGAAAUCCUACUUUUUCUUUCACUGUGCAACACCAUUACAGGGAAAGGUAAAGGUAGAAGCAGACUAGAGAAAGCUAAUUCUGACCAACUCAAUGCCAAGUGAAAAGGCAACGUUACAGCAGCAUGAUUACCUCAUUUUACCACAUUUCCCUUACAACAGACUGCCCUGGACCCCAACAGUAUCUUGGUGAUAGUGCCUGGAUCAUAGUAAGUGCUCAAGUGUUUGUCAUUGUUACCUAGUUAUAAUCUCCCCUCCUUCAUGGCUUGUAUUGCAGAGACUCAGGUAAUGUGAUGACUUGAAGGAAAUGUUACUCCUUUUUGCUGCUUUGGCUCAGAAAGCUUAUUGCUCCAGUGAAAAUAAAAGGGAAAUAUAAAGCUCUUUUCCUAAAUCCUACCAACAUUGUCCUUGUUAAUGGCCAAAUCUGGUUGUCAUCUGGACAAGCAUUUUGCAAGCACUUCACCGGAAUUCCAAAUUCCAUUCAGCCUUGGUCUAUGCUGCACCCCACCAUGUGGUGAUGUGUUGGGUGUUAGAAGGAGUGCAAGACAUGCUAUCAUAAUCCACCCACUUCUCUUCAACCAUACACCUCCUCCCAGCAAGAGAGGUAUGCACUUAUCUGGGCUGAAGAAAAGCCAAUUAAGCAAUACCUCCAUAAAAAUUAUCAGCUGUUGCUGACUUUUUCCAUACUUAAAAAAAAAAUCUUUCAGAAUAAGUUCUAUAGACUGCAGCAUUCUCUAAAGAAAUACUCAGAAAAAUAUUCGGACAGGAAUAGGUUCAAAGGAUAAUCUAAACUUUAACAUCUGGCAACUACACUGAACUCCUAGCUUACCUCUAAUUUUAUUAUUUGUUUACUCUUUUCUCUUCAUUCAAGAUAACCUGAUAAUAGAGGGCUGCAUAAGCUAUCCAAACAUUUUGGGCAUCUAAUCUUCCAAAGCAGGCAGCCCUCUAAUAAGCUCCCAUAAUGCCGACAAGAUGUACUGCAUCCAUCAAAAACAUAUUUUUGAUUUUGUGUCCCCCAACCCUCCAAUAUAGUUUAUCAGUCCUCUGUCAUCCGUAAUCACCACCUGAGAGCUUCCAAACCUCAAUGUAAGACAUCACCCAUGUUACAUACUUAAGGCCACUGAAACUGACCAUUCUUUUACCAGGUUUUCUGAAGACUUUUAUAAAGAAUGGCUAGAGCUGAAAAUAGCCACAAACAAGAACAGACCUAUGUUUACAUACCCUCUCCCCAAACACGAAGCACUGCUUCAGAAUUGGUAAUGUUUCUUUCCUAUUAAAAUAAGUCAUUUGGCCACAGUGUGCCCUCAGCUUGGAGGGAAGAGAGAAGAAUUUGUAAAAUAAUGAUCACGGG